UACGUAGGGGGCUAGCGUUGUCCGGAUUUAUUGGGCGUAAAGAGCGUGUAGGCGGCCAGGUAGGUCUGCUGUGAAAACUCGAGGCUCAACCUCGAGACGUCGGCGGAAACCAUCUGGCUAGAGUCCGGAAGAGGAGAGUGGAAUUCCUGGUGUAGCGGUGAAAUGCGCAGAUAUCAGGAGGAACACCAAUGGCGAAGGCAGCUCGCUGGGACGGUACUGACGCUGAGGUGCGAAAGCGUGGGGAGCGAACAGG
rnacentral:rRNA from 1 species